CCGGAAUGAGUUUGACCUGUUGCUCCAGCUCACGCAGUUUUUCCAGACUGGCUGCCAUCUGUCCGCGAACCGACUUUAUAUGAACACAAAGAGAGAAUUCAUUAGGGAUUCAGCCAUUUUUAAAACUUCUUCAAGGUCAUGGUGAAACACGAUACGCAGUUUACGGUCUUGCAACAAACUAUUUACCUAAUGAACUUGUGGAAUUAAAAAUAAUAUCAGCAAAGCAGGAGAUUUGGGAAGAUUGAGAAUGGCGAGAAGAUUGCGAGAAGGUUGCUUCAAAGUCAUCAACAGCACGAUUAAGUUCUCUGGAGGGCCUGCUGCGUGAAUCUAGCGUAGCUCCUACGCUAUCAGACUCUCGCGGAACAUCGAUGAUUGGAGGUAGAACUGAAGAAACUGCUGCCAAUUUUGAGGGGAUGAGAUCACCUUUUUUUGUCUUAAAUUGCUAUAGUUUUACCUAACACAGAUGUAUAGGAUGGAGUGGUAAGUCCCAAUAAGACUUCCAUGGAAUUACACUGCAACCUCCUA